rnacentral:rRNA from 1 species
UGGAGGCAGCAGUGGGGAAUAUUGCACAAUGGAGGGAACUCUGAUGCAGCAACGCCGCGUGAAGGAUGAAGGUUUUCGGAUUGUAAACUUCUUUGAUCGGGGACGAAUAAAAUGACGGUACCCGAGGAACAAGCCACGGCUAACUACGUGCCAGCAGCCGCGGUAAUACGUAGGUGGCGAGCGUUGUCCGGAAUUACUGGGUGUAAAGGGCGUGUAGGCGGGACUGUAAGUCAGAUGUGAAAUUCCAUAGCUCAACUAUGGAGCUGCAUCUGAAACUAUGGUUCUUGAGUGCUGGAGAGGGAAGCGGAAUUCCUAGUGUAGCGGUGAAAUGCGUAGAUAUUAGGAGGAACACCAGUGGCGAAGGCGGCUUUCUGGACAGUAACUGACGCUGAGGCGCGAAAGCGUGGGGAGCAAACAGGAUUAGAUACCCCCGUA